GUGUAUAUGCCUGUAAUUGUCUUCAUGGGUAAUUGGGUAUGUGUUUCUGUCUUACAAGUUCAUUAUCAAUAUUUGAAAAUCAAAGUCCCUUCAAAUGUAACUUAUAUAUUUUGGAUAUUCCUUCAUCUUAUUCUUUGUUGGAGAGUUAAUAUUGAAAUUAGACAUGGACAGUGUGGUCCUUUUUCCGCGUAUGGACAAUUCAUAUGAUUGAAUUCUGUCUAGGUUGUAUUUAUCUUCUUCCAACUGUAAUGCUGAUGUGACUUUCUUUUUGGGUUAAGAGGAAAAUGCUCAAUGCACUUCACAUUGCAUUUGAUUGUGGACUUAUUCUAUUUUUAUUAAAUGCAAAUGCAAACACAAAUUGCUCCCCAAGUUCAUAAAUUUCUGAUUUUUGCUCUAAUCAUGUGCUUCUUUAUGAAUUUAGAGCAGUAUGGGAUAAAAUUAUCCCUUCAGGAAUUCAAAGAAUUUGAUGGGUUGAAAGAUGAUUACGGAAUCAAUUGGCAUUUAGAUCUGAAAUUGAUAGUUGAUGAUUUGUUGUCGUUGGUUUAAACAACUUAUUUUCACACGGUUAUGUUGAAGCACCUGCUUUUUAGAAGUGAUGAACAUAUAUACUAUUUUAUAUUUUGACAUUAUAGGCAAUGGAACAAGUAAUUCACCAAUAUCCUGUUUAGUACAGAAAAUAGGAACCUUUACUUUUUCUUUCUUCGGAAAGUCAUUGAAGAUACUAUUGAAGCUCACAACGGAUAGGAAGUACUUAGAACAUCCUAACUUUUAGUGCAUUUCGUUUAAGGCUUCAAACAUUCAUAAUUUCACGAGAAAGACGCGUCAGAAGUUAUGAUUUUGUGCCCAUCAUUAGUUAAUGAAAACAAUGGAUUUACACGAUGUCAAAUUAUCAUGACCACUCCAUGGAUUCUUAAUAUGUGGUUUGAUGCCAUCCUCUCUUGUAUGCUUAUAGUUUUAUUUCUAUCAUCAAAACCCUUCAUAAUUGUUUUGAUGGAUUUCCAAAUUUACAAGGUAGUAUAUAUUUUAUGCUUAUGACUUCUGGACCUGUCUACAGAUUAAUGAAAUAUGUAUCAACAGAAGGGUGUUCAUAUCUGAAGCUUAGUUCAUAGUACUCCAUUAGUUCGUAGUCAGCCAUUAGACUGUGGUGCCAGUUCAAUGGAUCCCNUCAACUAAGUAAACAAUGCUAAUAACAUUCCUAAUCUAGCCUCUAAGCAGUGGCUUUGUUGGACUCACGAGCUUCGUGAACGGUUUGUCAAUGCCAUGGCACAACUUGGUGGAUAAGAUCGUGAGUCAUCUUGACUACCAUUUAGCUAACUCCCUCAAAGUUCCCGUAACGCAUGAAAGAAAGAUAAAAGCGACAUUUUAGCUCUAAGUUUUAUUCGUGUGCUUUCAUAUUGACUUUCAAAUAGUGAUAAUGAACUUGUGUCAUGUUCCCAAAUAUAUAUUAAUUGAUGAGUUUUUGAGCUUUAAACUUUUGUUUCUUGUCUUCAUGCUAUGUACAUUUUCAAUUUGGUGAUACAAUCUCAUGCUUGCUUAUGUUCCCAAAUUCAUGAUUAUAAUAAAUGAUUGAAUAGGAGUUAAUAUUUAUUGUGAUGGAGAGAUACAUGUGAAGGUAUUGUAGAUACACUCAUUUGGUACAUCUGAUAAGGUGUUAAUAUGCUGUUGUAGGAUGGAAAGACGUUUUCCAAGGAAUACGAAGC
rnacentral:lncRNA from 1 species